AGAGUUUGAUCCUGGCUCAGAACGAACGUUGGCGGCGUGGAUUAGGCAUGCAAGUCGAACGAAUCCCACCUGGGCAACUGGGUGGGGGAAGUGGCGAAAGGGGCAGUAAGGCGUGGGUAACCUACCCCGGGGACUGGGAUAGCCUUCCUAACGGAAGGGUAAUACCGGGCGAUCUGGCGAGGGGGCAUCUUCUUGCCAGGAAAUGAGUUUCGCCUCGGGAGGGGCUCACGUAGUAUUAGCUUGUUGGCGGGGUAACGGCCCACCAAGGCCAAGAUGCUUAGCGGGUGUGAGAGCACGACCCGCGCCACUGGCACUGAGACACUGGCCAGACUCCUACGGGAGGCUGCAGUCGAGGAUCUUCGGCAAUGGGCGCAAGCCUGACCGAGCGACGCCGCGUGUGCGAUGAAGGCCUUCGGGUUGUAAAGCACUGUCGAGGGGGAGAAAAGCCCGCAAGGGUCUGAUCGACCCCUGGAGGAAGCACGGGCUAAGUUCGUGCCAGCAGCCGCGGUAAGACGAACCGUGCGAACGUUGUUCGGAUUCACUGGGCUUAAAGGGCGCGUAGGCGGGCGGUCAAGUCGGGGGUGAAAUCUUUCAGCUCAACUGGAAAAGUGCCUCCGAUACUGAUCGUCUAGAGCGAGGUAGGGGCAUGUGGAACUUCCGGUGGAGCGGUGAAAUGCGUAGAUAUCGGAAGGAACGCCGGUGGCGAAAGCGACGUGCUGGACCUCUUCUGACGCUGAGGCGCGAAAGCUAGGGGAGCAAACGGGAUUAGAUACCCCUGUAGUCC
rnacentral:rRNA from 1 species